GGAGUUUGGUCCGUUUCUCAAUUCCAAUGUGGCUGAUUGUCCUCUCAAACCAGCUAGAGAUCAUCGGUUUGGUGAGCCAUUACCUCCCCAACUGCCUAAUCCCAUCUGGGCGCAUCUGCUCGCGUGCGGCCUUGCGGUCCCGCACUUUCCCCUCUCGGGCUUACGCGGUAUUAUCGGAACUUUCGCUCCGCUAUCCCCCUCAAGCAGGCAGCUUCCCAGACAUUACUCACCCGUCCGCCACUCGUCAGCAGAGAAGCAAGCUUCCCUCUGUUACCGUACGACUUGCAUGUGUUAAGCCUGCCGCCAGCGUUCAAU
rnacentral:rRNA from 1 species